CUCAGCUGGGCUCAUCGUCACCUUCAUGUUCUCUUCCUCCUUUGCCGCUACCACAGCUUUAUUGGUUUAGUAUGAAUCACCUCCGUAAAGCCGGGUCCUUUAUGAAUGGAAUAUAAUGGAAUGGACUUACAAUGGAGGGACACAAUUAUUCAUUGUUGUUUCAAAGAUGAACUACCAUCUUACUGGUUUGGAAUGUCAUGAGGGGUCAGAAAGCUCUUGGAUUUCAUCAAAAAUAUCUUAAUUUGUGUUCUGAAGAUGAACAAAGGUCUUAUGGGUUUGGAACGACAUGAGGAAAAUCACAUCUAUAACUGCAGAAAAAGGCAGACACAUAUGCCUGCUGCAACAAGUCAGAGAAACAAGUCCAGCUACUUUGCAUGUUUAGUAUGGAUCCCUGUUAGCUGUACGUGUGAAGUUAUAAAUAAAUGGGAAUGAAAUGACAA